CCUUUGACUGGUGGCAAUA
rnacentral:miRNA from 1 species